GAGGCGGCCGUCGCCGGGCACGAUGACUCCACCCGCCAGGUGCUGGACGCGCCGUCCCUGCAGGACGACUUCUACCUGAACCUCGUCGACUGGUCCUCGCAGAACAUGCUCGCCAUCGGCCUCGGCACCUGCGUCUACCUCUGGUCCGCAUCCAGCUGCAAGGUUACCAAGCUAUGCGAUCUGGGGCCGAGGGACAGCGUCUGCGCCGUGCACUGGACGCGCGAGGGCUCCUACCUCGCCGUCGACACCAACCUUUUAAAUACUAUACAUUUCAUGUCUGUGACAAGAGGGGAGGACUGCUUUGCAAUCUCAACGUACCCUGUUCAUCAGAGACAACAUCUCUGUGGGCGCCUCCGCGCGCUCUUUGGGCAGCUCGGAGCCAUGCUGUCAGAGCUCUUCACCAACUGGACCAUCUACACCAACAAGGCGGCGGUGCUGGUGAUGCUGCUGUUCGUGAUCGCGGUCAACCUAGCGAUCGGCAUCCUGCCGCACAUGAUGCGCCCGACGCCAUGGAGUACCUCACGGCGUGCUCGCCUCCCCCAGCAUCCCGAUCUCAACGAGCCUAGCGGCCGCCGUCCUUGUCCUGCUCGAGGAGCAGGAGGAGGAGGGGCGCAUCUAGCCAGCCACAAAGGGCCUGCUCU
rnacentral:rRNA from 1 species